GCCUGAUGCAGCCAUGCCGCGUGUGUGAAGAAGGCCUGCGGGUUGUAAAGCUCUUUCGUCAGCCAAGAAAAGGACUCGUCUAUUAAACGGAUGCUCUGACUUUUACUGAAUAACAACCACCGGCUAAUUCCGUGCCAGCAGCCGCGGUAAU
rnacentral:rRNA from 1 species